rnacentral:rRNA from 1 species
ACGUCAAGUCCUCAUGGCCUUAUGCCCAGGGCGUACACACGUGCUACAAUGGGCGGUACAAAGAGAAGGCAACCUCGCGAGGGUGAGCAAAUCUCAAAAAGCCGUUCUCAGUUCGGAUUGAAGUCUGCAACUCGACUUCAUGAAGUCGGAAUCGCUAGUAAUCGCGGAUCAGCAUGCCGCGGUCGAAUACGUUCCGGGCCUU